GAGACAAAUCACCUGCGAUGAGGAGGACCGGAGAAGGUCUCUGGAGGGAGGCAGCUUUGGACCUGGACAUUAAAAGAUGGGAGGAUUUUCACCAACAGAGGUGGGGAGGGAGCAGGAAGGAGGCAAACCCAGCAGGAGGAAGAGGGCGAGCAAAGGCUUGGAGGCAAAAGAAGAAGAAAACAAAUCAAUCAGAGCAGCAGAAGGUCAUCCAGAAGGCCCAGCAUGGACCCCAUGACAGUUCCUUCGCUUCUGGCUUUCUUCCUAUUGGUUCAUCAAGUCUCAAACCAAGUGUUACCUCCUUUGAGAAGCUGGUCUGAUCCCCACCUCUGCCCCACCCUGACUCAGCCGCUACCCUUCCUUUGGCUGACCCCUGAAGCCAGGCCUGCGACUGGGACAGGUUCCUGCUUCUCCACUAAAUGGCAGCAUCCCUGAGAAUACGGGCCUCUCCCUGCUCUUCCUCCUGGAGUCUACACAGGGCCUGGUGUGGCUCAGUAAACCUGCACGAAUGAAUGAAUGAAUGAAUGGGUGAAGACAGCUACAAAGAGAACCAAGAACCAUCUCAGUGAAGAUGGAGAGCAGCGAGGGUGUGUAAAGACAUCAGGGAAGGCGACUGAUCAUAGAAGGUGAGGAGAUGGGACCUGCUAAGCAUGAAGCCAAGGAGAAGCAGAGAAACAGCAAAAGAGAGGGGAGGAAAGAUAGAGUUUCAAAAAAACUGGAGAAAACAUGUUUGUAGUCAGGACAGGGUUGAGAAGAAGUGUGUGUGUCCCAGCUCAAACAUCACUGUCUCAAAAGGGUCUAAUUCAUUAGUUCUCAAAUUUCAGCGGAUGUCAGAGUCACCUGGAGAGCUUGUUAAAACACAGGUUGCUGGGACCAUCUCCAGAGUGAAGACUGAGCUGGGGGCCAAGAGUUGCCUUUUUAACAAGCUCCCAGGUGAUGUUGGUGCUGCUGGUCCAGGGAACCAUUAGUCUAAAGGAGGUCUCCAGCCUUUCUCCAUCCACUCUC
rnacentral:lncRNA from 1 species